GGCUCGGUAGUGGAUGGUCCGCAUCUGCUUUACAUUCUCGAUUCAAUCCACAGUAUGCAGACAUAGCCUGUUCGACUCGGGCCCGAGCCA